GGCGAUGGCCGUGCUGGGGACCCAGCAGAGGGAGGCCUAAGAACCUGAGUGGGGGAGAGGGCCUAGGGCCAGGCAGGGAGCAGAGAGUCUUGGGCUGAAGGCUGGCUGGGAAGGGCGAGAGGAGCCCCCAGGUCUGUGCAGAGAGACCUCGGUGCUGCACCUCAGCAUCUUGGAGGCCACGGUGGGCACAGACACUGAGCAGUCAGGGCAGCUGCUCUUUAGACCUGGACUUGACCACCCACUGGAGGGAGGGCAGGCAGCUCUGGAGCAAGGCCACCUAGCCUGACCAUGACCUCAGGGCACUCUGAGAUGUCCCACAGCCUGGCAGUGCCAUGGCCUCUGGACACUAGCUUCCUCUGAAGGUGGGUGAGGCACUGUCUCUCCAACAAGAAAGCCUCCAAAGAUCAUGACAACUGAGGGCCGCUGUCCAGUAGCCCCAGCAGCAAUAGGACACUGUCAUUUCUGGGGGGAGCCAGAGGGGCACCAGGACAUCCACCAUACCACUUAGUAGCAACCGGAUGUCUUCUCAAUAAACGGGGAAAGGGAAGCCUCACCCUCACCUCUCCAGCAUGGCUGAGAGGGGUCCCAGCCCAAAGGGAAGGCCAAAGCCAUGACAUUUCCAGGAGAAAAGAGAAGAUUUCAACCAGAGAAGACAAAGAUUUCUUAGUUAGGAAACUCUGGUCACCAGCCAUAAAACAAAAUUUAACAAUCAACAAAACAGACUAUUAAAUCCCAAACUUCUGGCCAGGAACUGUGGCACAUCCAUAAGCCCAGAGAUUUGGGAGGCUAUAAAACGGUGGUCUCUGGGGCCAGGAAAAGCAGGGAACGGGGCUGUCCCACGGGCACUGUCCCACGGGUGUGCGUGCAGAUCCAGGUGUGCCAGAUGGAAAGGAUCUGGAAAUCCUUUUGCAACGACUAGAAUACACUCAACGCUAGUGAACCACAUGCCUAAAAAUAGUUAAGGUGGUCAAUUUUCC
rnacentral:lncRNA from 1 species